rnacentral:rRNA from 1 species
AAUCAACGCUGGCGGCGUGCCUCAGACAUGCAAGUCGAACGAUUAAGACUUCCUUCGGGAAGUGAAUAGAGUGGCGCACGGGUGAGUAACACGUAAGUAAUCUACCUUCGAGUGGGGAAUAACGUCCGGAAACGGACGCUAAUACCGCAUAAUGCAGCGGCACCUAAUGGUGACAGUUGUUAAAGAUUUAUUCGCUUGAAGAGGAGCUUGCGGCAGAUUAGCUAGUUGGUAAGGAACGGCUUACCAAGGCAACGAUCUGUAACCGGUCUAAGAGGACGGUCGGUCACACUGACACUGAAUAACGGGUCAGACU